UUAUUACAAUUUCACAAUGCUACUUUUUUUUAAAGGAAUGGUGCUCUAUAAACCACACAAAAGGUCUGAGGUUCAAAUUCAAUGCGCCCAAAAAAUUGUUCUUUGAUCAUCCUUCAAACAUAUAUGAACUUCUCAUUCCACAAAAAAUUCAUGGUUGGGAAAAUGUUUUAUGAUAUUUAAUGGUUACAAAAAAGUAGCAUUGUGAAAUUGUAAUAA
rnacentral:misc_RNA from 1 species